GACAGAGGAUGCAAGCGUUAUCCGGAAUUAUUGGGCGUAAAGAGCUCGUAGGCGGUCUGUCGCGUCGGCUGUGAAAACCUGGGGCUUAACUCCGGGCCUGCAGCCGAUACGGGCAGACUAGAGUUCGGCAGGGGAGACUGGAAUUCCUGGUGUAGCGGUGAAAUGCGCAGAUAUCAGGAGGAACACCGGUGGCGAAGGCGGUUCUCUGGGCAUGUCCUGACGCUGAGGAGCGAAAGUGUGGGGAGCGAACAGG
rnacentral:rRNA from 1 species